GUCCCUAUAGCGCAAUGGAUAGGGCAUUGGACUUUUUAUCCAAAGGUCGUGGGUUCGAAUCCCACCUGGGAUA
rnacentral:tRNA from 1 species